rnacentral:lncRNA from 1 species
CAGCAACUAUAAAGGCUUUUGAAACUUAUGCACCGUGGUCAUACCAAGCUUGCCCUCAUUGCUUCAAGGCUAUUGCUCCUAAUCAUGACAAUUUCUGGUGUUCCGUCCAUGACUCAAUCCUUGCAGAAGAUCCUCAAUAUAGGUGAGCUUCCGUUACUCUUAUAUUUGUUGCCUAUUUCUUUCCAUGAACUGCUUCAUAUGCUACAUUCAACUGUCGCUUUCCUUUCUCCUUUAGAGUCAUUAUCAUGUAUUCAUCAAUUUCCCGUCCACCAUUAUAUGGAGGCUGCCUACUUUUCCUCCUUUUCUUACUCCUUCUGAUACCAACCGUCUCCUUCAUUACUGUUUGCCCCCACAUUUCCUACAGGUAUCGCUUGAAACUUAUUGUGUCAGAUUCAAUUGCUGAGGCAACAUUUGUUCUGCUCGG